UACGGGGGGGGCAAGCGUUGUUCGGAUUCAUUGGGCGUAAAGGGUGCGUAGGCGGCGCGGUAAGUCGGGUGUGAAAUCUCGGGGCUUAACUCCGAAACUGCAUUCGAUACUGCCGUGCUUGAGGACUGGAGAGGAGACUGGAAUUCAUGGUGUAGCAGUGAAAUGCGUAGAGAUCAUGAGGAAGACCAGUGGCGAAGGCGGGUCUCUGGACAGUUCCUGACACUGAGACACGAAGGCCAGGGGAGCAAACGGG
rnacentral:rRNA from 1 species